CCUACGGGAGGCUGCAGUGGGGAAUAUUGCACAAUGGGCGCAAGCCUGACGCAGCCAUGCCGCGUGUGUGAAGAAGGCCUUCGGGUUGUAAAGCUCUUUCAGCGGGGAGGAAGGCGUUAAGGUUAAUAACCUCGGCGACUGACGUUACCUGCAGAAGAAGCACCGGCUAACUCCGUGCCAGCAGCCGCGGUAAUACGGAGGGUGCAAGCGUUAAUCGGAAUUACUGGGCGUAAAGCGCACGCAGGCGGUCUGUCAAGUCGGAUGUGAAAUCCCCGGGCUCAACCUGGGAACUGCAUUCGAAACUGGCAGGCUAGAGUCUUGUAGAGGGGGGUAGAAUUCCAGGUGUAGCGGUGAAAUGCGUAGAGAUCUGGAGGAAUACCGGUGGCGAAGGCGGCCCCCUGGACAAAGACUGACGCUCAGGUGCGAAAGCGUGGGGAGCAAACAGGAUUAGAUACCCUUGUAGUC
rnacentral:rRNA from 1 species